ensembl:lncRNA LOC102549654 uncharacterized LOC102549654
CCUCACCUAUCCCAUCACAGGACUUGGAUUCCGUGUGCAUUCCAGCUGCGUGUGUACCACAGACCCGCGUUCAGUCCGUACGCACCUCUAGGAGUGAACUGAACUAGCACCAUUAGUAAGACCCGAACCCUGACUCCGUGCUAUCUAGAACUCUGGAGACUUCUGGAGCCAGACUGCCUGGAUUUAAAAGACAUAGACCGCAGCUGUGACUAUCAUUUACUAGUUAUGGGACCUUGGACAAGUUACAUUUCCAGGAUCUCAGCAUUCCCAACUAUGAGAUGGAAAUAUUAAUAACAGCAGCGUAUGAAAAAGUUUAGCUUACCUCAUUUGGCUCAUGACAGAUAAUUAUAUACGCUUUCCCUCUUGGGGCUUUUGUUUUUAUGGGAGUGGGUGGGGUCCUGGGGGGGUCAAACUCUGGGCUUUGUAUAUGCUAGACAAAAGUACUAUUCCUAGGCUACAUCCCUGGCAACCUUGUUAUUGUUUUCUCAUUCAUAAAGUAGAAACACAAGUCUCUCAGGGCUGCUCCAAGGAGUCAAUGAUGUAACAAGUGAAAUUUUCCUCAGCAUAUUAUCUCAUCAGCAUUUCCUUCCUUUCUGUGUAUUAAAGUAAUUGCUACAAUCAAACGAGGACCUUUAAUGCCAGGGUCUCUCGGAGAACCCGGAUUUUGGGUUUUGUUGAGUCAGCGAACCAAGGAGCGCUGCCUGUCUCCACAAGCUCCACCCCUCCCCUCCACACCCCAGUCCAGUGCUGCAGUUACAAACACGCCACAAGGUCUGGCUUUCUACACGGGUGCCCGGGAUCUGACCUCGGGUCCUCAGCUCUUCCUGCUUUCAAGGCGUUAAGGUACAAAGACUAAAUAAACACUCAUCACGACCCUCGAGGAUACAACAGACUAACGGAGGAGGCAGAUGAAGCCAGUGCAGGAUGCCUAGGAUCUAGUCGUCGUUCACCAUGUUACAGAGCAUAAAUCCAAGCCACUGAUUUAAAAAAAGAAAAAGAAAGAAAGAAACGUGGACAUUUGGGAGUCAACCUAACUGGAAAAAAAUGGAAGUCCAGACACUGAACCAUGAAGACGAGGAGUGCAUGAGAUGGCAGAGGAAGGCACAAACUGUGAGCAGGGGACCCACAGAGGACGCAAGAAUCUUGAAGCUUUGUAGACAGCACGGACCCAGGACAGCUGGUGGAGAGUGGGAAGGGGAUUACAACAACUCGGAGCUCUUGCAAGCCUUGCUGUCUCACAGAGCUAGGCCUCCAUGGCUGUCCUGGUGAACCACGGCUCAGCCUGAGCUCUGUUUUUGCGUGAAGGUCACUUGGACCCCUUCUCCAGAAUCUUCUUCUCCAAGGUGGAAGUUGUGUGGACACAAAUGACUACUCUCCUGACAGGCACACAGUAAGAAAUAAAGAAUGACUUUUCUUUCACAGGCUUCAACCUCACUGCAUGGCUUGUCACUGGCUGAAACAAUGACAAAGACAUUGUGCCCUGCUCCUUCUCCCCUUAGCUUGGUCCCUACUACUAGUUCUGGGAGCUGUGUACUUGGAUUCCAAUUUACAACCACGAUAGUGAGAGGAAUAAUGAUUACCUUCAUGUUUCUCAACAUUUGCCCAAGCAUUUAUAUCAUGAAGUAAUUUUCAUUAAGACGAACCAUUUUCACUUACGGAUAGAUUUCUUUGUUUUGUUUGAGACGCUAUCUUACUAUGUAGCUCUAGUUAGGCUGUAACUCAC